UUCUAGUUUCCUCCAACCUGACUGGAGCUGCCUGAACUGACGGUGAAGUUGGUUGGCGUUGGCUUGUAGGCUGUUGGGAGAGGAUGGUGAUUUCCAGGCAGACAAGAGGGGAGGAAAAAGAGAAAAUGCUGGAAAUGAACCAAAUCUUUGUUGCGAUGAUGCCAUUGGGAAUUCUACUUCUGAUCCAACUAAAUUCAAGGAGCUCAAAACUUACGUCAACACGCUUUCUUUAUGUUAAUACUUCUCUCUGGAGGGAAUCUGUUGAAAGGGGCAGCUGCCUGUGAUGCAUGGGACAGCUUACAUCUCUGCAUAGGGGGUGGUACACUUAUCUGGAAGGAUGGGCUGUGUUAGUGUUCCUGAGUUUGAAAAACUGCAUUUCAGAAAAUGCCUCCGGGAUAAAGAAUGAAUUCCUUUAAUGAUGCAAGGUAAGUUGUUGUUAAAUUAAAGAGCUGUUAUUUGAUUGGACGUUAUUCAAAGGUGAUUAAUACUGUAUACACAAAUGAUCAGAAAAAAAUCAAAAUUGAAACUAAGCAAAAAGCCACAUUUCUGUUUGGAAAAGCUCUUAAAAUAUACUGUGGAAUUGGAAAAAAUCAUGCUACUGUGAUAAUUGAUAGCAUUAAAAAAAUCUGUGAAUACUAAAACUGAGAGAUUUGAUGGGGAGGAAGAGGGUAAACAUGCAAUUUUCUUCUUGUUUGCUGCGUCUUUAUUCAUUUUUCUGUUGUGGUGUUUUGUACUUACUGUUCUAUUGAUUAGCAUAAUGGCAGCAUUGUUGUGUGCUGCUUUAGGGACAGCACAUUGUGUUCUCUGGAACAGGGACUGUCUGGAUCAGGAGUGCUGUGUCUCCUGCUGGACAUGGAGGAGGCUGAAAUAUGCCUAUGGGUGAGGAGACAUCGGCACGUUCUGCUCAGCUCUUGCCCAAGAGGAGAAAUGGAUCACCUCAAAAACCUGAGGACUUGGAGGAUGUUGUCGUUCUUGAAGGUAAUAGAAAAAAAUGGUAGACCUUUACUGAGCACAGAGAUAGAUGAAUGCAUUACAACAGGGCUUAAAGCCUGUGCUGACAGUGCUAAAAACCAGAUGCCAUGGGUCCACGCAUUGAGCGGCCAUCACAGAGCAGCAAAUGUUGAAUUGCACAGUGGUUUAUCUGUGGUGAUUUGUUUGCUUGCACUGCCUGUAAGAAUGUGAAACCAUUCAUCUGGUUUUCACAACAGAAUUUUCCAUCUGCAUGUCUUAUCAGGAAGACACUAAUUUAAUAUGAAAAGAUGCCAGUCAGCUCCUGCUCACAUCCUAUGGGAAAAUCUACACCUAACAAAGGAGGCGUUUUGAUAACUAGGUUUUGCUUGCUUUCUUUUUGGCCUUUAGUAUUUUGUGCUCGAAUAUGUGUAAAGAUAAUUGCAUAUCUGCUAUUUGCAAGGAUUCCAGAUUGUACUGCUACUUUAUAUACUUCCCUCUCCUCACUUUUACUCUAAAAAAUCACCUUGCAGUGUGUCAGUAAAUACCUGUUGUUGGUUCCAGGGCACGGUGGUUAUUUUUACAGGAUGUUUGGUUUUGUUUGUGUUUCAAACAGAAAAUUGGGAUAUCCCAAAAAUCAGAACUCCCAAGUGUUGACCACGUAUAUCACAAGACAGUAAUUCCUUUAGAGAUAAUAUGUACCUGUCAUCAGCUUAUUUUAGAAAAGCGUUAACAGUUAAAAAAAACAGGACAGAUAUUUUCUAGGUGGUGAUCAGCCUUCAGUAGCUAAUUUGCAGCAUGUUUAAAUGCAUCUACUUUUUUGGAUUGCCCCUUCUUUGAGAAAGAUCAAGUAUUAAAGAAAGCAGGGAGCAUUUUGGUUAUCGAUGCUUGGUCGCCCCUGGGGAGUUCUGCUCCCACCCAACCCAUGGCCAAUGGAUGGCCUUUGCCAUCUCCUUCCAGCAGCAGAGGUGGUACUGGGCAUGGUGUCUUCUGCUCUCCAUUGACUCAGGAAUGCAGCACAGGUAUGGGACACAAAUCAAUGAGAACAUCCAGGCAUUUUAAUCAGGCAUUUUAAAACCACACUGCUGCUGGUAGUGGGGCCACCUAGCAAUGUUUUCUGUAUCUAUCGUCUUCUGUCUUUCUCCAUAUGUGGAAAAGUUUGUUGUUUCUUUAGUGGGGAAGAGACUCUCCAACAUCGAACUUGUUUGCAGCAUCCCCAGAGAAACGUGUGAGCUGUGCUGUGUGUUGGAUUCAGAGAUGGGAUGACUGAUUGUGAUUAUAGAUGCAUGUAUGGACAUUUCCAAUUCUGCACCUUUAGGACUACACAGGAGUUUAAAACUUAAGUUUCAGGUUGGCUUUAAAGCUUUCAGACAUUUAAAUUUUUUUAUUUUUAAAUCUUCUGUAUGGUUCAGUAAUGAGAUCAACAAAAGCUGGUUUCCCCCAUACGCUGAAGUUGGAGGUAUGUAAUGUGUCAGUCUGUGUUUUAAAGUGGAAAACAUUUUUUAUAUGAGACUGCUGGAAUAUCGCUUUUCAAUAGGCUUUUCUUAGAAAUCAAAUGAUUUCUAUUCAGCUCAUUUCCUUUUUUUUUUUUUUUUAAUUUCCAGUGUGGUACUUAAAUAACGUGCCUGACAAUACACACUGCAAUGGGAAAUAAUAUAAAAACAAAAGCGUAUUUAUGCAAGUCAUGCUAGGCUUCCUCUAGAAAAAUAUUACUUGAAUGCUCUUCUAUAACAUCUCAGUUGCAGCAUAGUGACAUAUACCUUUCUUUGUAAAAUCAGUUUCUUCUGCUGCAUCAGGAAAUAAUAUUGCUAUUGUAAAUACAAAACAUAUUCUAAUUUUAGUAAAAUCUUGCAACCACUUCUCUGCAUAUGCUUUAUUUUUUCUUUACAAUGCCACAGGUUUCACUUCUCAGAUUUCUAAUUAUUACUCCAAUGUAUACAUGCUAAGUGGUGCCAUUAAACAUUCGAAUUCCUGGUGCAAAUAGCUACGAGGUAAUUUUCAGUCAUUUAAUUAAGUCAUUACCUUUGACUAUUUACAAUUUCACCUUUUCAGUGGUUAUCAGAAAGUCUUUGAUGCAGCAUGAUCACUUGCUAUUCUAAAAAUGGAGCGUUUGAACAAGGGAAUUCAGGUCAUACUCUGCUGCGUGCAGCGGUGUCCCUUCCCCCUUCCCAUUUAAUGCACAUGUUACUGUUGCUGGGAAUGAGUUGAAGCAUUUUAAAUACAAAAUAUCUCAACUACUUAAAAAUCUUCACCUAAAAGUUCUCAAUAUUACCUGGAAAUUUUGUUUUCAACCUCAUUUCCAAGCCCAGGAUCAGCUGACAUCUUCCUGUUGUAGCAGUUCUCCGUAUACAGAUCACCUGUGGCAAUAGUGUGGCUACUUGUUCUCUUGUGCUUUAUUUUGCUAUCCAUCAACAAAUUAACUAUGGUUUAUUUAAGUUUAUUUAGUUUAUCUGUAAGCACGAGUGCUAUGUUGCUAAAAUGGGGAAUAAGUGGGAAAAUUAAAUACAAUUACUGAAAUGAUAUUCAAGUUCCUAUUAAUGCUUUUAUUUUUGCUUAAAAAAAAAA